CAUUGGCCCACAAGCAAGAAGAGAGGUUACUGAUGGAAAAAAAAAAACUAGAAUAUUCUAAAUUACGAAUAUAUAUCACUAUAUUCUAAAUAUUCGUGAAUUCUCGAAGUGCCGAUAUUUGAGAUUAAUAUUCGUGAUUCAAAUAUUCGCGUCCAACACUACUUA